rnacentral:other from 1 species
AUCCUGAAGUGUUCGUCAAAGAGAACUAUAAUUCAACCUACAGAUUAUGAACGGGAGUCCGAAGUCCAUUUGUAGUAUGCCAUGCCCGCCCGACGGGACGGCAGAAAGCAAAGGCAGGACACCCACCUGGCGUGAGCUAGGGCGUGAAUUAUAUCUUUGACGGCAUGUCGGGAUU